UUUUCUUUCCUUUUUUUUUUCUUUUUCAUUUAGUUAUGAUGAUUGAUAUGCUUGUUAAGUUUUUUAGAUUCUUUGUGCUGUUUUUUAAUUUUGUUUGGUUAUACUUGUUCUAUGGGUGUUGUUAAUAUUGAUGUUUUGGUUGCUUGAUCUGAUUAGACUUGGUUACUAACUGAGUGAUUCUGAUGCUUCAACUGAAGAGAUACACCAACUUGCUUUAUGGGUAGCUCAGUUUGUAAUUGACAUGAUUAAGUGAAAUGUGGAGUGGGAUAUACAUAAAAGCGGUUACUAUUACUGCUUUUCUAGACUGCAUUCUCCCUUCUGGAUUUUCGGGAAGUUAAGCAGUUUUUGUGAGGGCAGUGAAAUGGUCCUGUUGAUGGAAUUUUAUUACACUUUUGAGUUGGUUGCUGAAGUAAACAUGCAUUUCCUGUUGUUGAUUCAUUAUGUUCGUGCUCGGCUUAACCUUGAAGGAUAGCCAUUUUAGUCAAGAUAUUUCGAUUCUUUUUUGGUUCAUGAAAGAGGAUAGCAUCCCUGCAAUCAGGAGACUACCAAGGAUAAGCAUAUCUAUACCCAUUUCUCAUGUUUUCCCCCUCUAAAUUCUUGUUUGGCUCUGCAGUCUAUUGCAUUUUGGGGGUUCGGAAUUAUUAGAACAGCUUAGACCACGAUCUGUUUUAAUGCUAAUGGUAUUUUUUUAGGUAAAAAAUAUAUGAUGUACUAGUG